rnacentral:rRNA from 1 species
GAUGAACGCUGGCGGCGUGCCUAAUACAUGCAAGUCGAGCGAACAGACGAGGAUCUUGCUCCUCUUACGUUAGCGGCGGACGGGUGAGUAACACGUGUAUAACCUACCUAUAAUACUGGGAUAACUUCGUGAAACCGGAGCUAAUACCGGAUAAUAUAUUGAACCGCAUGGUUCAAUAGUUAAAGACGGUUUUGCUGUCACUUAUAGAUGGAUCCGCGCCGCAUUAGCUAGUUGGUAAGGUAACGGCUUAACAAGGCAACGAUGCGUAGCCGACCUGAGAGGGUGAGCGGCCACACUGGAACUGAGACACGGUCCAGACUCCUACGGGAGGCAGCAGUAGGGAAUGUUCCGCAAUGGGCGAAAGCCUGACGGAGCAAAGCCGCGUGAGUGAUGAAGGUCUUCGGAUCGUAAAACUCUGUUAUUAGGGAAGAACAAAUGUGUAAGUAACUAUGCACGUCUUGACGGUACCUAAUCAGAAAGCCACGGCUAACUACGUG